CCUAUGGGGCGCAGCAGGCGAGAAAACUUUGCAAUGUGCGAAAGCACGACAAGGUUAAUCCGAGUGGUUCGUGCUAAAGGAACCUUUGUCAGUCCUAGA
rnacentral:rRNA from 1 species